rfam:Fermentimonas caenicola genome assembly, chromosome: chrI
UUAAUUCAACGGGGGUGCCUAAUAUAACAGGCUGAGAUCAUACCCAAAAUACCUGAUCCGGAUAAUGCCGGCGGAGGGAGUAAAAAUCACUUUUGA